rnacentral:rRNA from 1 species
AUUUGGUGUUUUAGCAUACUGGAACCACUCUGAUCCAUCUCGAACUCAGUUGUGAAACGGUAUAGCGGUGAAAAUACUAGUGGGGGAGCUUACUGGGAAGAUAACUCAAUGCCAAAUU